GAAAAGAAACCAACAGGGAUUACCUCAGUAACGGCGAGUGAAGCGGUAACAGCUCAAAUUUGAAAGCUAGCUCUUUUAGGGUUCGCAUUGUAAUUUGUAGAAGAUGCUUCGGGUGUGGCCCCGGUCUAAGUUCCUUGGAACAGGACGUCAUAGAGGGUGAGAAUCCCGUAUGUGACUGGGUGCUUUCGCUCAUGUGAAGCUCUUUCGACGAGUCGAGUUGUUUGGGAAUGCAGCUCAAAAUGGGUGGUAAAUUUCAUCUAAAGCUAAAUAUUGGCCAGAGACCGAUAGCGCACAAGUAGAGUGAUCGAAAGAUGAAAAGCACUUUGGAAAGAGAGUUAAACAGUACGUGAAAUUGUUGAAAGGGAAGCGCUUGCAACCAGACUUGCGCGCUGAUGAUCAUCCGGGCUUCUGUCCGGUGCACUCGUCUGCGCUCAGGCCAGCAUCGGUUUCGGUGGUGGGAUAAAGGCCUUGGGAAUGUAGCUCCUCUCGGGGAGUGUUAUAGCCCUCGGUGCAAUGCCGCCUAUCGGGACCGAGGACCGCGCUUCGGCUAGGAUGCUGGCGUAAUGGUUGUAAGCGACCCGUCUUGAAACACGGACCAAGGAGUCUAACAUCUAUGCGAGUGUUUGGGUGUCAAACCCAUACGCGUAAUGAAAGUGAACGGAGGUGAGAACCCUUAAGGGUGCAUCAUCGACCGGUCCUGAUGUCUUCGGAUGGAUCUGAGUAAGAGCAUAGCUGUUGGGACCCGAAAGAUGGUGAACUAUGCGUGAAUAGGGUGAAGCCAGAGGAAACUCUGGUGGAGGCUCGCAGCGGUUCUGACGUGCAAAUCGAUCGUCAAAUUUGCGUAUAGGGCGAAAGAC
rnacentral:rRNA from 1 species